UUUAAUGGUGGCUGUGCGCAGGGCGCCCUCGGGCGCGCCGGGUGGCUCCGACCGGUCGACUAACCUGCGUACAGCCGCCACCUUC
rnacentral:antisense_RNA from 1 species